AUUGAACGCUGGCGGCAGGCCUAACACAUGCAAGUCGAACGAGUGGCGGACGGGUGAGUAAUGUCUGGGAAACUGCCCGAUGGAGGGGGAUAACUACUGGAAACGGUAGCUAAUACCGCAUACCAUCGGAUGUGCCCAGCAGGGAUUGGCUAGUAGGUGGGGUAACGGCUCACCUAGGCGACGAUCCCUAGCUGGUCUGAGAGGAUGACCGGCCACACUGGAACUGAGACACGGUCCAGACUCCAAGGGGAGGCGGCGGUGGGGAAUAUUGGACAAUGAGCGCAAGCCUGAUGCAGCCAUGCCGCGUGUAUGAAGAAGGCCUUCGGGUUGUAAGGUACUUUCAGCGAGGAGGCGUUACUCGCAGAGGAAGCACCGGCUAACUCCGUGCCAGCAGCCGCGGUAAUAC
rnacentral:rRNA from 1 species